rnacentral:rRNA from 1 species
AUUGAACGCUGGCGGCAUGCUUUACACAUGCAAGUCGAACGGCAGCGCGGGGGCAACCCUGGCGGCGAGUGGCGAACGGGUGAGUAAUGUAUCGGAACGUAUCCUGUAAUGGGGAGUAACCAGUCGAAAGAUUGGGUAAUACCGCAUACGCACGAGAGUGGAAAGUAAGGGGAUCGCAAGACCUUACGUUAUAGGAGCGGCCGAUAUCUGAUUAGCUAGUUGGUGGGGUAAAGGCCUACCAAGGCGACGAUCAGUAGCUGGUCUGAGAGGAUGAUCAGCCACACUGGGACUGAGACACGGCCCAGACUCCUACGGGAGGCAGCAGUGGGGAAUUUUGGACAAUGGGCGAAAGCCUGAUCCAGCCAUGCCGCGUGCGGGAAGAAAGGCCUCGGUUGGUAAACCGAC